rnacentral:rRNA from 1 species
UACAGAGGGUGCGAGCGUUGUCCGGAAUCACUGGGCGUAAAGGGCGCGUAGGCGGCCCGGUAAGGUUGCGGUGAAAGCCCGGGGCUCAACCCCGGGUCGGCCGUGGCAACUGCUGGGCUGGAGCACAGUAGAGGCGGGUGGAAUUCCGGGUGUAGCGGUGGAAUGCGUAGAGAUGCGGAGGAACACCGAUGGCGAAGGCAGCCCCCUGGGCUAACACUGACGCUGAGGCACGAAAGCGUGGGGAGCAAACAGG